UGGGGAAUAUUGCACAAUGGGCGCAAGCCUGAUGCAGCCAUGCCGCGUGUGUGAAGAAGGCCUUCGGGUUGUAAAGCACUUUCAGCGAGGAGGAAGGUGGUGAACUUAAUACGUUCAUCAAUUGACGUUACUCGCAGAAGAAGCACCGGCUAACUCCGUGCCAGCAGCCGCGGUAAUACGGAGGGUGCAAGCGUUAAUCGGAAUUACUGGGCGUAAAGCGCACGCAGGCGGUUUGUUAAGUCAGAUGUGAAAUCCCCGGGCUCAACCUGGGAACUGCAUUUGAAACUGGCAAGCUAGAGUCUCGUAGAGGGGGGUAGAAAUUCCAGGUGUAGCGGUGAAAUGCGUAGAGAUCUGGAGGAAUACCGGUGACGAAGGCGGCCCCCUGGACGAAGACUGACGCUCAGGUGCGAAAAGCGUGGGGAGCAAAACAGGAUUAGAUACCCCUGGUAGUCCACGCUGUAAAACGAUGUCGAUUUUGGAGGUUGUGCCCUUGAGGCGUGGCUUCCGGAGCUAACGCGUUAAAUCGACCGCCUGGGGAGUACGG
rnacentral:rRNA from 1 species